GGCCCUUAUCAAUCCAUCACCCGCCCGGCUGGGCUUUAUAGCAGAUAAUAGGGUGGAGGGAGAAUUGAAAUAGAAACUAUCCAUUACAGGAGGCUGAAUGACAGGUUCCCUGUGCAAAAUAAGAUCAUAAUUAACAGGAGAGAGACAGAAAGUUUUCCGCUUUCUGCCGCUGUUUGUUUCCCUGUGUGGCUCUGUGGGGCAGGAUGGGCGUGAGAGGGGUGCUGAGGGGCUCAGGGCAGAGCCCCAGCACAGGCUGGUUUGCAGGUGUUGGAAGGAAACCAAAGCUACCCAGCAUGAAUAACUUCAUCAGCCAACUGAAAUAGGGCUGCCAGGAGCAGAGCCGAGCCUGCCAGCCCACUCUGCUCUGUGGAAUGUCUGAGGUGACUGGAAAAUCACCCCGUGUGAUGGAACGUGGCUCAGGGCUGAAGUAUCAGUACAGAUGUCUGGGGGGAACUGGAGCCUUUCAAGCCGUGCUGUUGAGCUGCCUCCAGACCCUGGAAAUGAGGCAAACAAACUUGCCUGGCCUUCAACCUGGACUAGAAACCAUUCAGCUGCAGGUUGCACAACACAGGAUCAUCUGCACUGGGAAUCAAUAAAAAGGGGAGAUACAAGGACAUGGAAAUAAAAGCUCAGUCAAUAGGGAGUCCGUCCUGCUCCCCUGCACCAACUAUCAGCUCAGCAGAACGCUUCAGCUGCGUGAUUCAGGGGAUGCUCCUGUAAGAUCUCUUCCAUACCUGCUGCCAGUCAGUGCAGAUGCCCUUUUGGAAGUGCCUGAAUAAAGCCUGCGUGUGGAAAUGUGGCCAAGGCAGUUGCACCUCCAAGAACAGUUGGAGUGAGGACCACUGGGAGAGAAACAUCUGGAAGUCCUGUCUGCAAGUGCCUUGUCUGCUUGGAGAUGUGCUCAGGCAGAGCCCAUGUGAGGCACCUCCUAAAAUGAGCAUUGCUGGGAGCUCUGGUGUGCUGGGUGCUGGAGCUGCUCUGAUGCGCUUCGUCACAGCACCCCUGGGCUGCCGUGGCUGCAGCUCAGGCUGGUGGGGGGUGAUGCAGGUGAGUUGUGCUGGGCCACCAUGGGCUUUGGUGGCAGAGCCACAUGGCCUCACGCUGCUGGUGUUUGGCUUGGGCUGCAGGGAGGAGAGGUGAGGAGAAGGGACCUGUGGGCACUGCAGCCUCGGGACUGCAGCCCGGCCGUGAGCCAGAGCAUCAGCUGUCCCGGGCUGACCAGGGCUCACCUGAGCUCCUUCUGUCCAGGUAAUCUUUUAAUUGCAAGCUUUUGCUUUUCAUUUCUUGACUAUUUAUACUCUGAAAAUUUCACAGCUAGCAGUUAGUCUGAGUAGUGGCAAUGCAUCAUAACUCCUACCUGUUCUCUCUAUCGAAUGACUCCAGGUGAUACUUUAUAUCUUAUUACGAUUAUUUAUUAUGAUGUCCAGUUUAGUUCUGUAGCAGAGGGACAUCAUUAACCUCCCCUGCAGUAAAGAGAACUCUCCAUGUUGUUUUUCAAAGCCAUUAAAGCUUUGAAAACUCUUUUUUUUCCCCCCUCAAACCCUCCAGGGCUGCAGAAUAAAUGCUGACACAGGUCAGCUAACGGAGGAGGAGCACAAACCCUCCCGCUGCGUCUCACUGAACUGCACACGGAGCUCCAGAGGAAGCAAGAAGUUAUCUGCUUGUUAGAAAACACACGUCUGCUGCUGGGAACUGGAGGCAGAUUUGCAUGGUGGUAGCUCCUGGAAACGUGGAUCCACUCUGGAGACUGUGUUUGUCUCAGGACUGAGAGGUGAUCCCUGUUAAAAUCCUGUCUGUGUAAGAGGGAUGCUCACACCCUACAAAGUCUCCUUGCUUCCCAUCUUGUGUUCCUCCAUACCCAGAAGAUCCUGGAAUAAGAUGUUCCCCAUCUCCUUGUAACCACAGGCUGCUUUGACAUGAUGGCUGGUGGCAGUAAAGCCUUUGUAGAUGUCCCUGUUUUUUGGAAGCCUGUUGUGCUGACCAUAUGGCUGGGGAAUACAGAGGCUACAUUUGUGAUGGGAUGCUAAUGAAUUGGUAGCUUCAUCUGGCCUGUCUGUGCCUCUCAAAAACCAGAAAAUGCUGUUCAUUAAGCUCUUGUUAAAGUGCCAUCAUAGAGAGAAAAGCAUCUCUAUAUACACAUUAAAAAAGCUGCAGUCCCUUGUUGUUCUCUUCCCAGGUCUUCCAGAUGAAAUUGUCUCCAUUUGUAAGCCAGGAGAUAUUUUCCUAAUGGCUGUGACUACAUUGCUGUUGUUCUGGCUGCACAAACCUGCUCCUGUAGCUGUGCUGCAUCUCAGGAGGGGUGGUUACUUCCUUUCCUACUAAGCAGACACUGUGACUUGAGGGAAUAUUGGGAAUGAGGAACUGUUUUCACAUGGCCACCUACCCCAGGCAUCUGUGUCUCCCAUGCACCUGCUUGCAGCACCUCCAUCCCCAUGUCCCAAGGAGCUCUCUCCCAUGUCAAAUGGUGCCUGCAAAUGAGACUUCAUCACACAUGGAAUCAUUCUUAGUGCCAUUUAAAAGGCUGAGGUGUUGAAGCCCAAAAGAAGUUGAAGGGUGUGCCUACCUGGGAACUCACCUUGGGCUGUAGGUGCUGGAGCAGAGCAUCCAUCACCCCAGGGUUAAGUGGGCAGGGACCCCUUGGCAUUGUGAGCAGAUGAAUAAUUAUGGCAUAUUAAUAUUAUCUGUAGCUCUUCCAGCAGACUGUGUUGGAACUUUGCUGCCUGACCAGAAAUCCUCCCUGGCUCGUCUGCAGGAGCUUUCAGCCUCCCGUGUCACCUGGAUGAGCUGGACAGAGGGGCCUGGACCUGCAAAACACAGGCUGCUCACUGCUGUGUCUCACAGGGGAAUAUCUGUAGCUGUGGGCUGGCUCGUUCCCCUGCUGCCCAGGGCUCCUAAUCCAGCUGCCCUCUGCUCCAGCCCAGGGCAAGAGCCUGUAAUGAACAUGUUACACAAGUGCUUGGGAAUGGACCUGGAAUCUCGCUUUCAAGUAGGAUUUUCGUGUGUGUGUGUGUGUCUGAGCGAUCUCUGGGCGUUCAGAAGUGAAGGGGAUCGCUUCCCAGCAGCUGUGCUUUGGUUAAGCACCUUCCUGAUGGGAUGGCUGGAAAUGCUGGUGGCUCAGAGCUCACACUUAGGAGCCCCUCGGUUGUGGAGUGAGUUUGGGAACCUGGAGGGAUGGAGCAUCACCCAGCCAUGUGUCCUCUGGAGAUGGCAGCAGGGAAACGGGGCCGUUUGGUGGCACUGCUGUCACUCGGUGCUGGGCUGCAGCAGCUCUCAGCACAGCCCAGCCUGCCCAGGGGUCCCCAGUCCUGAGGGUGGGCUCAGAGACUGAACAAGUGGGAAUUAAAAUGACUCUGUUUCUCUUUCUAGAAGCACCAGACAAGACUGAGGGUUGUAUGUGGGUGUCGUCUCUGGCCUGCUGGGCUCAGUGGGAGUCGUUUGGUUUGGCUUGUCCUGGCUAAGUCCCACUUCAGGAGCAGCCAGGCUGUGGGUUCAGCCCAGCUGGGAUGCUCCCAGUGCCCAUGAGGACGGCGUCUGUGUGUGAUGAACACGGUGGUUUCCCUGCCUGUGAUGAGCCUCAUUUCCCCCAGCUCCCAUAUGGAAGGUUGCAAUGGCAGCAGGAUGUGGUGGGCUGCACCGGGGUGGAUGUCGCGAAGCAGCGAUGAUGGAAGUGGCUUCAGAGUGAAGCUGUUAUUGAUGAAGGCUCCAACCAGGGAAGAACUGUUCCUCUGGAUCUUUACUGAAACCCCCCCAUUCUGGCUCAUACCUUGCACAAAGAGCUGCUGGUUUCGAAGCCCAGAGCCAGGGUGUCCUGGCAGAGCUCAUACCUCCUGGCAAGGGCCCUCUGUCCUCACAGCUGCAUGAGGAGGGUCCCACAGGAGCACCCUGGGAACCCCCAAGCAGGGACCCCCCUGGAUGCUGCACCCAGCCACCCGGCACGGGAGCAAAAGGCUCAACAGCCACAGCUGACAGCGUGAGGAAGAGAAGGCUGUGGAAGACCUGGGUAGUAAUCAAGGCUAAUUUGUUGAUUUGCUGUCUGGAAUCAUUUCUGGCAGUACUUUUCCUCCCCCUCCCCACAAUUUGCUGCCAGCACGAGCCCUCCAUCCUCCCCCAGCCCCGCGCCGGCUCCUGCUGCCUGAUGACGGGCUGUCAGGAUGAUUGAUGUGUUCUUGCUGGAGAAGGUGAGUCCCUCUGCCGUGACAGCCGGGUCUGGCAGCCAGGCAGAGCCUCACCCUGCAUGGCACCCUCCUCCUCAGGUACUUGUGUUUGCCUGCACAGUCCUGCCAAGGUCAGAAGCCCCCGAAACUCGGGCGUCCUCCCCGCAGCAGCCCCUUGGGUGGCUGGAUGAGGGCUGCAGGAGGGGCUGCUCGAGGCAGCCACAGCUUGGGCAGCUGGGCAAGGGCUGGGGUUGCCCCUCGCAGCAGGUCACUGAGGGACCUGGGCUCUGUCCUGCUCUGGCUGGGGAUGGAAGGUGCUCAUUUGGCCACUCAAGAUGUGGUGAUGUGGCUUCUCUAAGGUCAAACAGCAAGUUUCCCAGUGCUCCCAGGCACGUGGCCCUGGAGCCUCCCUGGCCUUGGCAGCUCUGCAGAAGCUCCCAAGAGUUAUUUUGGGGUUUCAUUUGUUAAGUCCUGGGUUAUUUUGCUCCUUGUUGGAGGUGGGUGCCAAGCCCCAGCCUCCUGCUGCAGGGAAGCAGGGGGGAGGCAUCAAAGGGCAAAAGGGACGAAGGUCCUCAGAGCAACACCAGAGACUUUCCCACUGAUGCCUGGGGCAAAGGGGAAUUCAGCCCUGCUUGGAGCUCAGCUGGUGUCUGGGAUGGGGCAUCUGCCCCAGGGAAGGGCAGGAGCAGAUGCUGCAGGAUUUUGAAAGCUAUGAAUUCAGAACGUGUUAAUGAGGAGAACCAUCAGCAAUUCAAACUGAUCACCCACAGGAGCCUUGUGCAGGAAAAUACACCACAGAGUGCAAAGAACACGGCCUGAAAUCCCAGAGCACAGGCUGGGCUCUGUUCCCUGAGGGACCACGGCCAGCAGAGCCUGGGGAUCUUUGCUGAGGCUGAGGAGGGAAACCCAACUGGGAUGGGUGUUUGUUUCAGCCCUGAGACACUCUGUGAGCGUGUGGAUGGGGCAGCUGAGGUGUGUUGGAACGUGGGGAUCUCCUGUGCUUAUUCACACACUUUGCUGGAGAACUGUGUGGGAAAACCAGGAUAAGCCCAGUUUAAGCAGACUCCUCCAGAUACCCAGCGUGGCUGACUGGGACUGGGCCACUGCAGCCCAUCAGCUUCUCCUCAGCACGUGCUGCUCCUGCCUGGUGCCUGUGGCUUUGUGCAGUGCUGCCAGGAGAAAAUACCAUACACCAGGAAAAAAAUCUGCCUUAAGUCUUUGCAAAGCCCCAGAUAAUGCACUGCCAGAGAGAACAACCGGGAGCAAAAAUAAUUGCUCUCCUCUUUUUCUCCAGCUUUUCUUAUCAACGACUUUAUCACCUUUGGUUUUAUUUUACACCUUAUUUAGACUUUACUGUAAUCCCAGCUAUUUCAAAAUUGACACCUCCUUAAUACCUUGUCUAACACCUCUGACACCUCUGGCUAAUGCCCAGGCCCUUCUGGAGCACAAAGCAGCUGCAUGGAGAACGGGGAAAAGCUACAAUGGAGAGAGAGACAGAGAUAUUAUUUACUGCCCAGGCUCUAUGAAUAAUAACCUCUGAUGGGAAAGGGUGGGGGCCAGCUUCCCUCUGCAGCUGAACUUUGGUUCUGCCCCCAUUAGUCUGCAUCUGCCCCUGUCUUACUGCUGGAGGCUCCUGCAGCAAGUGUUAUAUGGGCUGGAGACAUGGGAGGAUUCAUUGUUUGGGGGAAGCUGCAACCCAGAAAGGCUCAACUUUAGUGAACUGAGGCAAAUGGAUUCUUCUGAGCCACCCUGUGCCAUGCUCAGCCCCGUGCAGGCUGUGCCCUCUGGGGGGGUGCUGCUGGCAGGGUGGGUUUGGCAUGGUGGGUGCUGUGCCACGCUCUGGCCCUCGCUGCCAGCCCUCACGCUGCCUGCUGGGGGCUGAUUCCAGGGCUGAACAUCUCCCCUGUCUGCAGGGAAUCCCUCUUUUGCAAUAGCAAGAGUUAAUAAAGAGCUCUCAAAUAUCCCUGCUGUUUGGGUUGGCAGGAGCUCCAGCAGGGUGCUGGGGCACCAGAGGGGUCCCUGGUGCCUCUGCUCCCUCCAGUGCCCCCAGCAGCCCUGACAUUUCCUGGCAGUCUGACCUGGAAGAAAUCCUGUUACAAGCCCAGCACUGGUGAUAAAACAGCAAUGCACUUUUUCUCUCCUCCAGUCUCUGAGCCUGAACAGUGUUGCUGCAUUACCUACAUUUAACUACCCAUUACACAACCUGUAUCUCUAAAGAGAGGGAUCUGGCAGCUUUAUUAUAAGUUUAUUACAUGCUAAUUCAAGCAAAUAAAUUUGCUCCAGCUGUGGAGCAAAGGAGAUUAAUAACCUUGGAGAUCACUUUGCUGCUUUGAUGAGUUUCUUGAACAGAGCAGAGUAUA